CAGGAAAACAACAGCAUGGUGUUACGGUUGGAUAACUCAGGACAUCACAAAAAUGUUAACAACGGUGUCUACCUAAACAGUCAUUUCUAGUGCAAGCAGUAAUAAUGAUGAAAAGUUAAAAUAUAUUAGAUACAUUAUAGUACGUAUUAGGCACUGAAGAAAUAUUGGUUGGAAAGAAUGACUAGGUAGAUUCAUUUAAAAUUCAUUAUGAGAAUUUCUUCUGUCCACUUAUGUCAUUGCCAGUGAAAAUUCAUUUUAGAGUUCGAUCUUUAAGAUGUCUGAGAAAUUAUCUUCUUAACUUUUUUUUUUCUUAAGAGCCUGAGAAAUUGGUGCAUCAUAUUCUCCACGAUAUGUACAAAACCAAGAAAAAGAAGACUCGAGUUAUUUUGCGAAUGUUACCCAUCUCAGGCACAUGCAAGGCUUUUUUAGAAGAUAUGAAAAAAUAUGCAGAAACAUUUUUGGAACCCUGGUUUAAAGCUCCAAACAAAGGGACAUUUCAGAUUGUGUACAAAUCUCGAAAUAACAGUCAUGUGAAUAGAGAAGAAGUUAUCAGAGAAUUGGCAGGAAUAGUGUGCACCCUCAAUUCAGAAAAUAAAGUGGAUCUCACCAAUCCACAGUACACAGUGGUAGUAGAAAUCAUCAAAGCUGUCUGUUGCCUGAGUGUUGUGAAAGAUUACAUGUUGUUUAGAAAAUAUAAUCUCCAGGAGGUGGUGAAGAGCCCUAAGGAUCCGUCACAGCUUAACUCAAAGCAGGGAAAUGGGAAAGAAGCUAAACUGGAAUCUGCAGACAAAUCAGACCAAAACAACACAGCAGAAGGAAAAAAUAACCAGCAGGUACCAGCGAAUACUGAGGAGCUGGGGCAGACAAAACCAACGUUUAAUCCACAGGUGGUAAAUGAGGGAGGAGCCAAACCUGAACUUGCAAGUCAAGCCACAGAAGGAUCCAAGUCAAAUGAAAAUGACUUCUCAUAGGAAGUCAUUUGGUGUUGGAGGUGGGUUUCUCACCUGGGGCUCUACGAGAUGUUGCUGGGGCUCCACCU
rnacentral:sRNA from 1 species